rnacentral:rRNA from 1 species
UGGUGAUGCGGUAGAGGAGCGUUCUGUAAGCCUGUGAAGGUGAGUUGAGAAGCUUGCUGGAGGUAUCAGAAGUGCGAAUGCUGACAUGAGUAACGACAAUGCGAGUGAAAAACUCGCACGCCGAAAGACCAAGGUUUCCUGCGCAACGUUAAUCGACGCAGGGUUAGUCGGUCCCUAAGGCGAGGCUGAAAAGCGUAGUCGAUGGAAAACAGGUUAAUAUUCCUGUACUUCCAGUUAUUGCGAUGGAGGGACGGAGAAGGUUAGGCCAGCCUGGCGUUGGUUGUCCAGGUUUAAGGUGGUAGGCUGAAAUCUUAGGCAAAUCCGGGAUUUCAAGGCCGAGAGCUGAUGACGAGUUGCCUUUAGGCGAUGAAGUGGUUGAUACCAUGCUUCCAAGAAAAGCUCCUAAGCUUCAGAUAACUGGGAACCGUACCCCAAACCGACACAGGUGGUUAGGUAGAGAAUACCAAGGCGCUUGAGAGAACUCGGGUGAAGGAACUAGGCAAAAUGGCACCGUAACUUCGGGAGAAGGUGCGCCGGCGAAGGUGAAGGGCUUGCCCCGUAAGCUUUUGCUGGUCGAAGAUACCAGGCCGCUGCGACUGUUUAUUAAAAACACAGCACUCUGCAAACACGAAAGUGGACGUAUAGGGUGUGACGCCUGCCCGGUGCCGGAAGGUUAAUUGAUGGGGUUAGCGCAAGCGAAGCUCUUGAUCGAAGCCCCGGUAAACGGCGGCCGUAACUAUAACGGUCCUAAGGUAGCGAAAUUCCUUGUCGGGUAAGUUCCGACCUGCACGAAUGGCGUAACGAUGGCGGCGCUGUCUCCACCCGAGACUCAGUGAAAUUGAAAUCGCUGUGAAGAUGCAGUGUAUCCGCGGCUAGACGGAAAGACCCCGUGAACCUUUACUAUAGCUUUGCACUGGACUUUGAAUUUGCUUGUGUAGGAUAGGUGGGAGGCUUUGAAGUGGGGACGCCAGUUCUCAUGGAGCCAUCCUUGAAAUACCACCCUGGCAACUUUGAGGUUCUAACUCAGGUCCGUCAUCCGGAUCGAGGACAGUGUAUGGUGGGUAGUUUGACUGGGGCGGUCUCCUCCCAAAGAGUAACGGAGGAGUACGAAGGUGCGCUCAGACCGGUCGGAAAUCGGUCGUAGAGUAUAAAGGCAAAAGCGCGCUUGACUGCGAGACACACACGUCGAGCAGGUACGAAAGUAGGUCUUAGUGAUCCGGUGGUUCUGUAUGGAAGGGCCAUCGCUCAACGGAUAAAAGGUACUCCGGGGAUAACAGGCUGAUACCGCCCAAGAGUUCAUAUCGACGGCGGUGUUUGGCACCUCGAUGUCGGCUCAUCACAUCCUGGGGCUGAAGCCGGUCCCAAGGGUAUGGCUGUUCGCCAUUUAAAGUGGUACGCGAGCUGGGUUUAGAACGUCGUGAGACAGUUCGGUCCCUAUCUGCCGUGGACGUUUGAGAUUUGAGAGGGGCUGCUCCUAGUACGAGAGGACCGGAGUGGACGAACCUCUGGUGUUCCGGUUGUCACGCCAGUGGCAUUGCCGGGUAGCUAUGUUCGGAAGAGAUAACCGCUGAAAGCAUCUAAGCGGGAAACUUGCCUCAAGAUGAGAUCUCACUGGGAUCUUGAAUCCCCUAAAGGGCCGUCGAAGACUACGACGUUGAUAGGUUGGGUGUGUAAGCGCUGUGAGGCGUUGAGCUAACCAAUACUAAUUGCCCGUGAGGCUUGACCAU